GAGACAGCAGUAGCCGCGGUAAUACGGAGGGUGCAAGCGUUAAUCGGAAUUACUGGGCGUAAAGCGUGCGUAGGCGGUUCGUUAAGUCUGUUGUGAAAGCCCCGGGCUCAACCUGGGAAUGGUAAUGGAUACUGGCGAGCUAGAGUGUGUCAGAGGAUGGUGGAAUUCCCGGUGUAGCGGUGAAAUGCGUAGAGAUCGGGAGGAACAUCAGUGGCGAAGGCGGCCAUCUGGGACAACACUGACGCUGAGGCACGAAAGCGUGGGGAGCAAACAGGAUUAGAUACCCGGGUAGUCCCUGUCUCUUAUAC
rnacentral:rRNA from 1 species